rnacentral:rRNA from 1 species
UACAGAGGUCUCAAGCGUUGUUCGGAUUCAUUGGGCGUAAAGCGUGCGCAGGCGGUUAUGUAAGACAGGUGUGAAAUCCCCGGGCUUAACCUGGGAACUGCAUUUGUGACUGCAUAGCUAGAGUACGGUAGAGGGGGGAUGGAAUUCCGCGUGUAGCAGUGAAAUGCGUAGAUAUGCGGAGGAACACCGAUGGCGAAGGCAAUCCCCUGGACCUGUACUGACGCUCAUGCACGAAAGCGUGGGGAGCAAACGAGG